AACAAGGUCUCCGUUGGUGAACCAGCGGAGGGAUCAUUACCGAGUUUACAACUCCCAAACCCCUGUGAACAUACCUAUACGUUGCCUCGGCGGAUCAGCCCGCGCCCCGUAAAACGGGACGGCCCGCCCGAGGACCCCUAAACUCUGUUUUUAGUGGAACUUCUGAGUAAAACAAACAAAUAAAUCAAAACUUUCAACAACGGAUCUCUUGGUUCUGGCAUCGAUGAAGAACGCAGCAAAAUGCGAUAAGUAAUGUGAAUUGCAGAAUUCAGUGAAUCAUCGAAUCUUUGAACGCACAUUGCGCCCGCCAGUAUUCUGGCGGGCAUGCCUGUUCGAGCGUCAUUUCAACCCUCAAGCUCAGCUUGGUGUUGGGACUCGCGGUAACCCGCGUUCCCCAAAUCGAUUGGCGGUCACGUCGAGCUUCCAUAGCGUAGUAAUCAUACACCUCGUUACUGGUAAUCGUCGCGGCCACGCCGUAAAACCCCAACUUCUGAAUGUUGACCUCGGAUCAGGUA
rnacentral:rRNA from 1 species